GGAUGUGAGGGCGAUCUGGCUGCGACAUCUGUCACCCCAUUGAUCGCCAGGGUUGAUUCGGCUGAGCUGGCUGGCUAGGCGGGUGUCCCCUUCCUCCCUCACAACUCCAUGUGCGUCCCUCCCGAAGCUGAGCACUCGAAGAGGACGGCCUUCCCCGAACAGAGACAGACCGGACCGGUCUUCGGUCGAGGGCAUAUGAGUAGUUGCGCUCCCCUGCUAGAACCUCCAAACAAGCUCUCAAAAUGGAUAUUGAGUGAUGGUGGUGGCACAAGGGGUACAGAAUACAGAAGGGUAAGUGGGUGGAGUUGUAGCUGGACUGGUCUU
ensembl:misc_RNA 7SK 7SK RNA